rnacentral:rRNA from 1 species
GACGAACGCUGGCGGCGUGCCUAAUACAUGCAAGUUGAGCGCUGAAGGUUGGUACUUGUACCAACUGGAUGAGCAGCGAACGGGUGAGUAACGCGUGGGGAAUCUGCCUUUGAGCGGGGGACAACAUUUGGAAACGAAUGCUAAUACCGCAUAAAAACUUUAAACACAAGUUUUAAGUUUGAAAGAUGCAAUUGCAUCACUCAAAGAUGAUCCCGCGUUGUAUUAGCUAGUUGGUGAGGUAAAGGCUCACCAAGGCGAUGAUACAUAGCCGACCUGAGAGGGUGAUCGGCCACAUUGGGACUGAGACACGGCCCAAACUCCUACGGGAGGCAGCAGUAGGGAAUCUUCGGCAAUGGACGAAAGUCUAACCGAGCAACGCCGCGUGAGUGAAGAAGGUUUUCGGAUCGUAAAACUCUGUCGGUAGAGAAGAACGUUGGUGAGAGUGGAAAGCUCAUCAAGUGACGGUAACUACCCAGAAAGGGACGGCUAACUACGUG